CCUACGGGUGGCAGCAGUGAGGAAUAUUGGUCAAUGGACGAGAGUCUGAACCAGCCAAGUCGCGUGAAGGAUGACUGCCCUAUGGGUUGUAAACUUCUUUUAUAUGGGAAUAAAACGUUCCACGUGUGGGAUUUUGUAUGUACCAUAUGAAUAAGGAUCGGCUAACUCCGUCCCAGCAGCCGCGGUAAUACGGAGGAUCCGAGCGUUAUCCGGAUUUAUUGGGUUUAAAGGGAGCGUAGGUGGAUUUUUAAGUCAGUUGUGAAAGUUUGCGGCUCAACCGUAAAAUUGCAGUUGAAACUGGCAGUCUUGAGUACAGUAGAGGUGGGCGGAAUUGGUGGUGUAGCGGUGAAAUGCUUAGAUAUCACGAAGAACUCCGAUUGCGAAGGCAGUUCACUGGACUGCAACUGACACUGAGGCUCGAAAGUGUGGGUAUCAAACAGGAUUAGAUACCCCGGUAGUC
rnacentral:rRNA from 1 species